CUCUCUGGGACCAUACCUACCACUCUCAUGGUCUUUCACCUGCAGCCAUACACACAAACACACACACACACACAAACACUCGUUCCUCCUCACACAUCACACCCACACACACACAUGAACACCCACAUACACACCAGCAGUCUUCUCUUUAACAGUGGUGUAGCGAGGUCCCGGACGCUUCUUAAAGCUAGCAUCGUGUGGGUCCUACGACUCAGGAACUCAUGAGAUAUUGACAUAGUCAAGGCUUCACACUAUGUUCGGAUUUUUUAAGAGCAAAAAUAAAGACAAAUCCGUUGGGAAAGAUAAAAACAGUGACGCUAACAAAGAUAAGAAGAAAGAGAAGGAGAGUAAAGAGGAGAAAGACACGAAGGUGGCCAUUCGAAAAGGUAAGGAAGAGAAAAUAUCGAAAUCGAUCUUCAGGAAGAGUAAGUCCAUCGAGCGGGUCAAGGUGACGGAAGAGGCGGUAGUUCCGUCUAAGAAGAGUAAGACCCUCGGGGCGCGUGGCUCCGGGGGGUGGACUGACAGCGACCAUGACGACCCUCCGUGUCAGGACGACGCAGCAGCAGGAGGCUACGAUACACCACCGCCCAGGAACAGCAGUAGCAGCUUCAGUAGCGACGGGGUGGUUUGUUCCUCCUCCUCCUCCCUCUCCGCUCAGCUGCCAGGAAACCCGUGUUUCGGCGGGUCCGCUGGAGUGGACCAACCUUCUUCAGGUAAUUCUGUGGUAUCCAGCCUUUGUAAACAAGACUCACGUCUCAACUCGGAGCGUGAAGAAACGAGAAAGCUUGGGCAAAAUAGCUGGGGUAUUCCAGCAGGCUGUGCUGUAGAGGAAGCGACUGUGUUAUCCAGAGACACAGAGGAACAAGACUGCAAAGAUCUCAAGGUUAUGAGUGGGACAACAGCAACAUUGUCCACAAGUUCCUCGCCACUGGUUAUGAAGCCGCCUCUGAAUCCCCGAGUGGUGGCGCCACGAGGUCCUCUAGCCACUUCAGGACUUCCUCCUAAUCAACAGACAGAGGUGAUGAUGGCUGUUGAAAAGGAGGAGAGCCGCUACACGCCUUCCCCUAGUUUGAUCACUCCACCAUCUUCCCCCGGCAUGCCCUGUGCCCAGGUCGUUCCCCCCUACCCUGCUGUUACUGGCCCGUCGUCUCGCCCUACCUCUCCAGACGGGCGGACCUCUAUGCUCUCUACGCCCUCUAGUUCCACGUCCAGUCUUUCCAGUCUGACAGCCAGACCCAUCUCCCCUUCCGGGCGACGUACACCCCCGGGGCCUCGUCUAGGCACAGGCGGUAGGCUCACCUCAUCCCCAACUUCUGGUCGUAAGGCAGUCAGGACAAACAUUAAAACCAACCCAACAGUGGUGUCUCGCCGAGCAGGCUCUCGGUCCCCUGUCAACCCGCCUCCGUCACCAUCACCUUCGACGACCACCGAUACUGCCGUUCUCUUUAUUGACGGAGACAAGCUCAAAACACCACCAGCUUCCCCCGACACUACUAGACACGUCUCGUCGGAUCACACGUGUGGAAGUGAACCAGAAGUACAAAACAGUGUAUCACCACCAAACCCCAUUGAUGUUAGUGUAACGCCAAAAUCCUCUCCACCGUCAACAGUCCCAGAAACAACAACACAACUCUUGUCUUCAGCCAAAGCCAAAACUCAGCUACCACUAGCGACGGUAAAGCCAGGGCUGAGUUCCUCACCUUCACCGCCACCCACAAAUAGCUUACCUUGUGAAGUGAAGCCAGAGACGGGCAGUAAGUUGACUCCAAGAAGCGUAUCUCCUACUGCUGGUAAAUCACGUCAUUCCAUAUCAUCUAUGCAUUCCCUGGAAUCCAUACCAGAAAAUGACAGCGAAGGGCAAACAUCAGCAUCCGACACACUAGAAAAAGCUCGUAAAUCAAAGGGUGUUUUAGGGACCAAAUCAUCAUACCCAUUACAUAUAGGAAGGGAGAUCAAGGAGUCUGGCAACAAAGACUUGACGACGUACUCUACACGACAUUCAGUGCCAGAAGUCUCGUCAGGUGGGACAUCUCAUGGUUCAUCACACAAGAGAUCUUCGUCCCUGACUCCUGUAAACGAAGAAAGAUUUUUGCAUUCCUCAGCCGCAAACAAUCACCAUAAAAUCCCUCAAAAUGUAAACAGCAGCGUGUCCCCUGGUGCAACCAUACGCUAUAAUGGUCCUGUUACUGACGCUACGAAACAACCUGAAAAAUACUCAUUUGAAAAUAGCACAAGCAAAGGAGUUUCACUACAGAAUGCAAGGGGAGAUCAGAGACACUUAAGCCAGAGGGAUGAAAUUAGCACAAGAAUGGCGAAGAGCUGUGGAGUCAGACCCACACAGAGCGAGAAUAGAGGGAUGUCACAGAUCAUCUUCCAAACACCAGUAGAAGAAAGCACUCUCCUUGUCCAAAGAAAGUUGUAUGGAGGAGAUGAUGAAAAACCCUUGGAGGUUUCCUUGCUUACAAAACAGCCAAUAAUUGCAUCCUUGACUACAGUUGUGGAAUCAGGGAUCAUGAAGGCUGAUGCUAACAAAGAAGUUAAUUCAAAGACAGAAGAAGCUUCAAUAAGAGAGCCUGUACAGUCCAACAAAAAUCCAAAUGUUUCAACAAUAAGCGAAGCUACGACAGCCACUCACGUGGUAUUUAGAAUCCCGCUGCGUAGCAGUUCUUUAACAAACGGAAAAGGCACACAGAGGAGAGUCUCAGCUGAGAUUCUUUCCAAAGAAGACGGGAAGACACACCGGAAAGACAAAGAACAUCGCAGGGAAAGACCGAGGUCAUUGUCUACAUCAAGGGAACUUAAGAGAGAAAAUACUUCCGAAGUAUUUGAAAGAAGACGACUGUUAUCGGAGGGAGCGGAGUGUGAGGAAGACCUCAGUAUGGAGAGAGGUCGAGGAGUAGCGAAGGACGAAGUCAGGGAAAGAGUUCGCCGCAGGUCGUCCUCUUCCAUCAGACGACGUCGAAGUCGUGGAGAGGAGAAUCACCAUGAGAAAGACAACGGCAAUACCAUGAGCAACGACAACAAGGAAUACGACGAAGUACUUGUCCCCUGGCGCACAAGCACUCGAAGCAGGACGCGGGCAUCAGGAAAUGGGACAAAAGGCACUGUGAUGAAUACCACUGUAUCCAAUGACAAAAAUUCUUGUGGUACUAACGAUCUUGGUGAAGGCUCGACAGUUCGUCACAGGACGAGAUCAGCCAGUACGGGAAGGAGAGCUCGUGAAACCCAGGAAAAUAAUGAUGGAAACGACUUUCUUACCACAUCAAUAAACUCUAGCAUAGCCCCUCCACCACGUCAAAGAUCAAAAUCAAGAGGAUCUGAGCGUAGGCUGACCAGGUCGGUAACGCAGAGUGAGAUCAAGCACGCUUGUGACAUGAACAUGAAGCCAAUGUCACCGGAAAGAGACUCUAAAUCGAGAAGUCGAACUCAGUCUGCGUCGAGAAUUGCUGAUACCUCCAGAUAUCCAGAAGAUGUAAACACAAGUGGAAGAGGUAGACCAAUGCUUGACGGUGACGCUGCUGGUGCUCACAAACCGCCCAGAAGAAGGUCCUUGUCUACCAGCAGAAGACGAUCAGAGGUUUUACGGGAUGUAGACGAGAGUCUAGUUCCUCACUCUGCAAGAUCGAAGUCACUUGAAAGGAAAGAUACCAACAGAGCGUUAAGUAGAAAACAAGAAAUGGAAGUAAUAAUUGCCAAAGACUCCAAUCAACUCACGGACUCCAGAAAUGGGAACGCAGACAACGAAAGAAAAAUUGAUGAAGUUUGUGUAAUAAACGAUAUCAAUAAGACUGAUAUAGGAGGUGCCAUCUUGAAGACCGGGACUGACAAAAACAACGCAGGAAUCUACGACUCCACUAACGUUAAGGUUACGAGCGCCAGGUUGAGGAAGGGCAGCUCUAAAGACGAAGACAUCGCCGCUAAUGAGGAGGAACCAAAGAGCAACCAGAUCGAAAAUACUGAAAACGACAACAAAAGCAUUCAAGACGCGAAUCAGAAAAUUGUCAAGGACGAUGAAAACAUAUACAACGAGAAUUCAGAGAAUGAAAAAGACAGUAAAAACACUGAUAUCGAGAAUGGAAAGACUGAAAACGACAGUAAAAACACUGAUAUCGAGAAUGGAAAGACUGAAAACGACAGUAAAAACAGCAAUAACGAGAAUCGCAAAACUGCUAACGACAACAAAAAACGAAACGCUACUAGUGUGGAGGUGAGAUCGGUGCAACUGCAGACUCAGGAGACAACGGCUGCCUCUAAGACAUGCCAGACAGAAGACGAUGCUACUGAGGCGACGCGGUUGCUUCAGGAAGCCCUCGGCUCCGCCAGAAAAGAGCUGGCUGACCAAGAGGAACGGUAUCAGAAACAGGUGGACCAGCUGACCAUCUCGCUAGCGGAGAAACAGCAGGAGGUAGCCGCUCUGACGAGAAACAUUGAAACCCUCAAGGGCGCCCAGGAGACACUGAACAACUCAGAGGAGCUGCAGGAGAAGCUAGCCCUCCUUCAGCAGGAUGUGAGAGACCGAUCAGCGCAGAUGGACUGUCUUCGAGUAGAGCUUCAGUACUCCAAGAACGAGGUGGAGCUCACCAAGUCGAAGUUGAAGAAGCUGGAGGAGGACCUCGAUGCGGCUCGCCAGAAGAAUGUCGCCCUUCAGAACCAGAUCACCGCCACGGCUAAUUGCGACAGGACUGAGGAGUUGGAGAAGAAAAUCGAGAACUUGGAGGAGACGCUGAAGGCAGCGCAGGAGGAGAGAGAUAAGCUCUCCAAGACGAUAGAGGAGAUCGAGACAGAGAGAGACGAGGAGAUAAAGAUUAUUCAAGAUGCGUUGGACGAGGCAGCGCAGGAGAGGGAAGAACUUAUCAACACUUUCGAGAAAGAACUUCAGAACAUGAACACAAUGAACAGCACCAGAGAACAGCAGUUGAUGGAGGACUUCGAGUGGAAGUUGAGAGAGAUGGAGAAAGAUCACAAGAAGAAACUCGAGGAGAGAGACAGAAAGGCUGAGGAGAGGAUUACUGCUAUGAGGAACAUUGUGGAGUCUGAACUGGCUGAUUCCCUUAUUAAGGUGGCUGAGGAUCGACGUAUUGCUGACGAACAACUGGCCGAGGUGGGUCAUCUGAAGAGCUACGAAGCGGAGGCCAUCCAGCUGAGAGGAGUCACUCACGAACUUCAAAAGGCUCUGCGGGCGUCGGCCCGGGAGAUGGAGCACCUCAAGAUGAGAGAGAGAAUCUUAGAGGAGGAGAUACGAGGCCUGAAGAAGGCGCCACCGAAUCGUCAAGUGGGGCAGAGCACACUACAUCGGGUCAAGAGACAGGCAGAGGAAGCUGAGGCAGAAUUUCGUCAGAAGCAAGAGAAGAUGAAGAAUGAACUCAAUGCUGAGUGGGAGGACAAGCUGAGGUCUGAGUGCUCAAGACUGAAGGCAGAAUUGGAUGACCUCCACGCUGAGGAGAAACACCUGGCGGUAGAGUCCAUGAAGGUACAGAAGGAACAGGAGAUAAGAGCGCUCAAACAAUCGUGGGAACUACGUCAGGAGGAGAUGACUAAAGAAAUCUCGACGCUAAAGGACAGCCUGACGGACAAGGACGCUUACUACCACAAGGAGCUGGAGAACAUGAGGACCAACGCUGACAGAGACGUAUGGGAGCUGCGUCGCAAACUUCAGAGGCUAGACGAGAAGAACUGGACCCAGCAGGAGUACCUACAGGAGAAACACCACGAGGAAAUGGAGCGACUACGGGCCGACUACAAGGAGAGGGUGUCAGACCUGGAGGCGCUUCUGGCUGUCGCCAUGAAGAACUCUGACGAGGAGAGCCGCGUGCAGGCUGAGAAGAUGCACAAUGAUGAGAUGGAACACUUGUGCGAGCAACACAGACUUAGCAUGGAGCGAUUAAGAGAGGAGCUGGAAGCUGAGAAGUUCCAGGCGGUGGAAGAGGCUCGUGUCAUUGUCUCUAAACACCUCGAGUACAUCAACGCUACCUUGAGAGACCAGCUAGCAGAAGCACUUACUAAUAGCACUCAGUAUCGCGAGGAGCUGGAAGCUGUCAAAUCUGCCCUGACGCUGCGGGAGGAGGUCAUCUCCUCUCUGGAGGAGGAACUAGCCAAGCUCAAGGAGGUAGAGGGAGCCGGUCCCUCGCCCUCCUACACUGCCUCCCAGACUUCCCUGGCUUCCACUAGCGAGUCCAGCAGCUCCCAGGGAUCGAACUCCCAAGACAGACUUAGUCUUUCAGAGUCCGUUGGUUUGUCUGUCGACAGCCAAGACGAUGCUCACAAGUCUGGUGGUAGCGGUCUCCUGGGUAAGGUAUUUGGAAGUGGCUGGUUCAGCAGCGCUAAGACUAAGGAGAGCUCUAGAAGGGGGAGCGCCCCAGGGAAGCAGACCUCCUGAGCUCACCUCAUCUCCCCCACGAUCUCAUCUCCGUGGAUGCCUUCCCAUCUCCACGGAGCUCACCUACCCCAUCUCAGAUGCGGGUAAGGGCACUGCCAACGGCGCCCCACCUGCUGGAAGAUCCUCGUCUUCCCUCCUGAAGAUGCGGGAGAGAAGGGCCAGGAUUCAUCACUCAUACUACCACAUCGUCACCAGUAGCCAUCAUCAACACUUCAGUAACCCAUAACCCGUGUAAUUACUUAUAUAAAGAUGUAUAUUUCUUACUUAAAGACGUACUGGAAUCAAGACAGACACGUGUAGCAGAAGGAGCCUCAAUAGGGGGCAAUGUUUCGCUCUAAUGAGAGGGCGAAAAGUAGUGCCAAUUAAGGCUUGUUAUGCUACGUGUAUACUUGUCAUAUAUAUUUUUAUUUCGAUUUCAUUGCUGAGCAUGGAUCCAAACGUGGCACUGCCCGGAAAGUGAAGAAAAGAAUCACUUUACAGCACAAGGUUUUGUUGAGUCUACGUUUCUCCCUGAUAAAUGAUCCACACAGAACGAAACGUUGCCAAAAUAGCAGCUUAUUCGGCCACGUGAGUCUUUUCUGAACUCUAAGCUUGUUCCAAGCUGCUGGAGCGUCCGGUUAGCUUGCAGCUUUUGCAGAGGACGUUUCCCCCGGAGCGUCUAUCCACGUCUAGCCUUGCUUCCCUACUCUGGUGACAAUCUAUUCCACAAAUUGUAUGGAGACUUAUUAAUAUUAUGCAUAUUUGCUUGCUGUCCAGCUCUGGGUGGUGCUAGGGAUGCCUGAGUCAAUCACAGGGGCCCUCAGACCAGAGAUGGUGAUGCUGGUCUUUUCCUGGUAACGGAUGGUGAGUCUAGAUAUUCCUAAGCAUAGAUUGUGAUUCUUGGAACCAGACUCACUACUCUAUCAUAUAGAUGUGGUGAUGUCAGAGAUUAGACACACCGCCCAGUUCAUCUCCUGACUACAAAUGGUGAUGCUGAGGGAAGAAGACACCACUACACUGAUCAUUUCUCCUGAGGUGCACAUAAACCAAAUAACUGAUGCAGCUAACUCGAAACUAGCUUAAGAAUGGAGUCAUUCAUAGCGAAAUAUACGACAUAUGUCAGGCCCACACUGGGGAAAGAAAUACCAGUAUGGAACCUCAUACCUGAUCGAGCAUGUGAAGUGACGAUAAGUCCUUCCUGGACGGUUGGUACUGGAGAUCAGUCGCACUUAUCUUUUUCCUUUCAUCUCGGACAUCUGACCUCCUCGACAUCAUCAUCUUCCACACCUUCAUAGGACAAUAUAACCCAAAACUUGAGUCCCGUGAAGACUCAAGGGAGACGCCAGGAGGAGCGUGUCAACAUGUACGGCGUGUUGCGCUUUAUUGCAACGCGCCGAGACUCUUUCUUACCUCCGGCACCUACCUUGUGGUGUCUUCACUUCUACAGUGACCUCCUGCAGUAACCCGGUACUGCAGCAUCAGCACUUGGUGGUUUUUCCGUCCUGUGCUGACCCACGCAUCAUCAACAGAACACAACAGUAACGUCUUACACCAUCAUCAGCGGUCAGUAACUCAAUUCGUAAGACCCCACGCCACACUUAGCAUUGCUCUUCCUAGAAGGGUUAACCUUUGAGAAUAUCUCAGUACGUCCUCGGGUCCUUACCAGGAAGCACAAUCGUGUCAUUACGAUUUCUUAAGUCAAGCACAAGCAAAUUACUACUGCCAAGAGUAUCAUCAAAGACGGGAGAUAACAUCCAGUAAUGCCUCUGGAGAGAAACAGAUCCUUCCCCAAAAAACCAAAGGCUUUAACUCUGCUAAGAUCACCAUCUCAACAUGGUGAUCACCGUCCGGAAUGCCCCUGGAAAAGGCUGAGUCCCUGGAAGGGAGUAUAAGAAUGUUAGAGUUGUGAAGUUCCAAAACGAAAACCACCACUAACCUCCCAAGAGAAUCUCCAGUCCUCGUACUUAACGACAGACAAGUUAAGAGCAACCAAGACUCGUAUAUGAGUUAAUGCUCCCCAGGCUGCUACAUAAAGGGCCAGUGGAAGCCAUCAAUAGACUGAGAAAGCUUGUCGCUGUUCUCUCUGUAAAUACGACGCCAGAAAUUGUUGAAUCAUAGAGAGCCAGCACAAGUCUCUAUUUAUUUUCUAGUAUACUUAAAAAAAGAGUUUUGUAGUUUUAUAUUUCACUGAGAGUUUAAGUUAAGGUCAGUAACAUUUGUUCAGUCAAAACUUCAAGAAAAACUGUACGUUUAUUAUGACUGAAACAGCGUUUUUAAGAUUAGACUAUAAGUAAUAUAUAUAUAUAUAUAUAUAUGUAUAUAUAUAUAUAUAUAUAUAUAUAUAUAUAUAUAUAUAUAUAUAUAUAUAUAUAUAUAUAUAUAUAUAUAUAUAUAUAUAUAUAUAUAUAUAUAUAUAUAUAUAUAUAUAUAUAUAUGAUUCAUUAUUGACAGCUAGUGAGGUAUGUAAUAAUUGCUGAAAAGUAAAUAUGGUUAUGAGAAUAAAUAUAGAUUGUCAUCGUGAAUUUUGUAAUGUAUCACGUAUAUUAACUCCGUAGUGGUUCAAGCGUGUUGUGAAGCCUAGGCCUACCUCGGGGGGGCAGGCCAGGCCUACCCUAGACAGGGGGGGAGGCUAGGCUGCCGCUGCUGCUGUCUGCAGCUAGGUCUGCUCUGUAUAAUGUACAUGAGUAGUGAUGUGAACACACUGGGUUAUAUUAGUUUUUUGGCCUCCGAGUGUGACCUCCGAGCCUGGCCUCUGAGUGUGACCUCUGAGUGUGACCUCCGAGUGUGACCUCCGAGUGUGACCUCCGAGCCUGGCCUCUGAGUGUGACCUCCGAGUGUGACCUCCGAGUGUGACCUCCGAGCCUGGCCUCUGAGUGUGACCUCUGAGUGUGACCUCCGAGUGUGACCUCCGAGUGUGACCUCCGAGCCUGGCCUCUGAGUGUGACCUCUGAGUGUGACCUCCGAGUGUGACCUCCGAGCCUGGCCUCUGAGUGUGACCUCUGAGUGUGACCUCCGAGUGUGACCUCCGAGUGUGACCUCCGAGCCUGGCCUCUGAGUGUGAUCUCUGAGUGUAACCUCCGAGUGUGACCUCCGAGAGUGACCUCCGAGUGUGACCUCCGAGCGUGGCCUCUGAGUGUGAUCUCCGAGCGUGGCCUCCGAGUGUGACCUCUGAGUGUGACCUCCUAGUGUGACCUCCGAGUGUGACCUCCGAGUGUGACCUCCGAGUGUGACCUCCGAGUGUGACCUCCGAGUGUGACCGAGUGUGACCUUCGAGUGUGACCUCCGAGUGUGACCUCCGAGUGUGACCUCCGAGUGUGACCUCCGAACGUGGCUUCUCACUGCACUUGUAAACACAAAAUGUAUCGUUUUUAUAACUAUUAAUAAAAAUAUUUAGGA